AACGGCCGUACCAUGCUGAAUAUACCGGUUCUCGUUCGAUCACCGAAGUCAAGCAUCAUUGGGCGCGGUCAGUUCUUGGGUGGGUGACCACCUGGGAACACCGCGUGCCGUU
rnacentral:rRNA from 1 species